UGCCGCUGGCCGGGCGCGGUGACGAAGGUGCGGCUCAGCAGGCCGCAGACCGUGGCGUUCAGCGCGGCGUGCGGCAGC
rnacentral:tRNA from 1 species